CCCGCCAUCAACACUACUCUCCUUCCCAAUCCCAUCGCUUCUGUAAAUUCUCAGAGAUUUCAUUGAAAAUAAAGCUUGUCAAAACAGAGCUUUCCAAUUUCACUGGAACAACAAAAGAAAAAGUGGUAGCAACCAAAACCAACAAGCGCGAAACUUGUGUCAAAAACAAACCAAGAUAAUACGUGUUCGAUAUUGAUUUAUGUUGUUGUUCUUGAUGUGUUUGAUCUUAUGUCGCACCCAAGAGAAAUGAAUCGGUACUGGAAGGUGGCAUGAAUGAUGGUGAUGCAACGAUCGGGAUGGGUUUUCUUUUCUAAAGAUUAAUGGGUUUUUGCUCUCGUUGAUGGUGAUGAUACGG